GCGGCUUAACACAUGCAAGUCGAGCGGUAACAGGGGAGCUUGCUCCUGCUGACGAGCGGCGGACGGGUGAGUAACGCGUAGGAAUCUACCUAGUAGAGGGGGACAACAUGUGGAAACGCAUGCUAAUACCGCAUACGCCCUUAGGGGGAAAGGAGGGGACUUUUCGGAGCCUUCCGCUAUUAGAUGAGCCUGCGUAAGAUUAGCUAGUUGGUAGGGUAAAGGCCUACCAAGGCGACGAUCUUUAACUGGUCUGAGAGGAUGGCCAGUCACACUGGGACUGAGACACGGCCCAGACUCCUACGGGAGGCAGCAGUGGGGAAUAUUGGACAAUGGGCGGAAGCCUGAUCCAGCCAUGCCGCGUGUGUGAAGAAGGCCUUAGGGUUGUAAAGCACUUUCAGGGGUGAGGAAGGGUAGCUAGUUAAUACCUAGUUAUCUUGACGUUAGCCCCAGAAGAAGCACCGGCUAACUCUGUGCCAGCAGCCGCGGUAAUACAGAGGGUGCAAGCGUUAAUCCGGAAUUACUGGGCCUAAAGCGCGCGUAGGUGGUUUGUUAAGUCGGAUGUGAAAUCCCAGGGCUCAACCUUGGAAUGGCACCCGAUACUGGCAGGCUAGAGUAUGGUAGAGGGGUGUGGAAUUUCCUGU
rnacentral:rRNA from 1 species